rnacentral:rRNA from 1 species
GAUGAACGCUAGCUACAGGCUUAACACAUGCAAGUCGAGGGGUAACAAGAGAAAAGCUUGCUUUUCUUGUUGACGACCGGCGCACGGGUGAGUAACGCGUAUCCAACCUGCCUAUAACUAGGGAAUAACCUUGCGAAAGUAAGACUAAUACCCUAUGAUUUCCUUUGAUGACAUCAGAUUCGGAAUAAAGAUUUAUCGGUUAUAGAUGGGGAUGCGUCUGAUUAGCGUGUUGGCGGGGUAACGGCCCACCAAGGCAACGAUCAGUAGGGGUUCUGAGAGGAAGGUCCCCCACAUUGGAACUGAGACACGGUCCAAACUCCUACGGGAGGCAGCAGUGAGGAAUAUUGGUCAAUGGGCGAAAGCCUGAACCAGCCAAGUAACGUGCAGGAUGACGGCCCUAUGGGUUGUAAACUGCUUUUAUACAGGAAUAAAGUUAGCCACGUGUGGUUAUUUGUAGGUACUGUAUGAGUAAGGACCGGCUAAUUCCGUGCCAGCCGCCGCCGUAA